GAUAACAAAAUUUAUCAAAGCGUGGCGUGAUGCUAACCUGAGAAACAUGGGGUUCAAUCAAUAUCAAACAGCAUAUCCAGUAUUACCGAAACAAGUAGGGAGCGAUGAUUGUGGAAUUUUCACAAUAAACAAGAUGCAAAAUUAUCGAGCAAGGAACCAGUUGCAGACAGUAUUCCAAUCAAAAGAUGUUCCAGAUGCGCGCGUGAGACUUGCUGUUGAUCUACUAUUCAGCACUCACAACGAAAUAGAUGAAGCAAAGACACUUGUCAAGGACUUGUGAUACAGAACUGUCAAUCAACUAGAAUAUUUAUGUCAUACAUGGAG